ACAUUUUAGUACUCAACAGUUCAAACUAUUUCACUUACAACACCAAACUCAACCUAUUUUCAGCAUCUUCAUUUACAGAAUAUUACACAAUCUACAGCUUUUAAAUAUACUUUUUGACUCACUACAGAAACACUUGCAAAAGAAGAAAAAAUAUCAGUGUAGGUCUGGCCUAAUGUAAUCUGGAUCUCAUAACAGCCAGAAUUUACUUCCUAA
rnacentral:misc_RNA from 1 species